GAUUAACGCUGGCGGCGUGCAUAACACAUGCAAGUCGAACGAUGAAACUCAUUAGAUUUCUUCGGAAUGAAAAUGAAUGGAUUAGUGGCGAACGGGUGAGUAACGCGUGAGUAACCUGCCUUACACAAGGGGAUAGCCUCUCGAAACGGAGAAUAAUACCCUAUGAAACCAGACAAUCGCAUGAUAAUCUGGUCAAAAUGUUUAGUGGUGUAAGAUGGACUUGCGUCUGAUUAGCUAGUUGGUGAGAUAAAAGCUCACCAAGGCAACGAUCAGUAGCCGGCUUGAGAGAGUGUACGGCCACAUUGGGACUGAGACACGGCCCAGACUCCUACGGGAGGCAGCAGUGGGGAAUUUUGCACAAUGGGGGAAACCCUGAUGCAGCGACGCCGCGUGAUUUAGAAGGCCUUCGGGUUGUAAAAAUCUUUUGUAUAGGAAGAAAAUGACAGUACUAUACGAAUAAGGUCCGGCUAAUUACGUG
rnacentral:rRNA from 1 species